rnacentral:lncRNA from 1 species
CAAAAAUGGAAAUGGAAAUGGUUUUGAGAGGUCAUCUCAUCCUGGUCAGAACAACUAAGGUCAACAGAACAACUGGCAAGCGAUGCAGCUGAGUCUGUGAGGAAGGAGCCUCGCCCCCUGUGAGGAAGGAGCCUCGCUCACUGUUGGGGGGUUUAAACUAGUGCAGUCACUCUGAUAAUCAACAUGGAGAAUCCUCAAAGAAUAUAUCUACAUAAGACCCACCUAGACCAUUCCUUGUCACAUGCUCCAAAAGAACUCCACAUCUUACUCCACAGACACUUGCUCAGCCGUGGUCAUAGCUGCUCUAUUCACAAUAGCCAAGACAUGGAAACACCCUAAAUAUCCUUCAGCAGGUGAGUGGACAGUGGAAAUGUGCUACGUGCACACUAUCGAACACCAUUCAGCUGUAAGGGAAAACCAAACUCUGAAAUGGGCAGGUAAGUGGAUGGAACUGUGUGAGGUAACACAGACCCAAAAGGACAAAAGCCA